AGAGUUUGAUCCUGGCUCAGGAUGAACGCUAGCGGCAGGCUUAAUACAUGCAAGUCGUGGGGCAGCGCGUUAUAGCAAUAUGAUGGCGGCGACCGGCAAACGGGUGCGUAACACGUACGCAACCUUCCUACAGGCGGGGAAUAGCCCAGAGAAAUUUGGAUUAAUACCCCAUAAGAUUUUGGAGUGGCAUCACUCUAUUAUUAAAGCUUUGGCACCUGAAGAUGGGCGUGCGGCUGAUUAGGUAGUUGGCGGGGUAACGGCCCACCAAGCCUUCGAUCAGUAGCUGAUGUGAGAGCAUGAUCAGCCACACGGGCACUGAGACACGGGCCCGACUCCUACGGGAGGCAGCAGUAAGGAAUAUUGGUCAAAUGGACGAAAGUCUGAACCAGCCAUGCCGCGUGGAGGAUGAAGGUCCUCUGGAUUGUAAACUUCUUUUAUUUGGGUACGAAAAAAGGGACAUUCUUGCUCACUUGACGGUACCAGAUGAUAAGCACCGGCUAAC
rnacentral:rRNA from 1 species